CCGCGCUGCGCCGCGCGCUCGGGCAGCCCACUGUGUCCCCGCCAAUGGGGAGGCGCGGCCUCAGCCUCUGCCCUGACCCCGGCCCGCCCCCUGUCCCCGCGCUCGGCUCGGGACCGCCGGGACCGCGCCGACCAGCCCCGCCUUCUCCCACCGCACUUCCAGGAGUUGUUUAUGAGGUUAAAAUGAUCCAGCGGGGACAUUUGGGAAGAGACGCGGGAAUCCUUUAAUCUUUGAAGCGCUGGUUAGGGCCCGGGAGCUUCACAGGUGUGUCCAAGAGAAGAGAAGCAAAGGCAGAGAACUGGAUCUCCUGGGAGCGGAAGCGCUUGCUGCACCUCUCACCGUUUGACCUCGCCACAUUUUAUAUUAAAAUAAUCUGUGUAAGCCAAAAAAUUUUUGGCAAAGGUUUGUGUCACACUAUAAUACGAAAUAAGUA
rnacentral:lncRNA from 1 species